rnacentral:lncRNA from 1 species
GUUGUUUCUUUGAAGUCGUAGUUAAUUCAUUGUUUUUUGUCGGUUUUGAUCAAGAUUUCUGGAAAUUUUCCAGAUUUUCUCAUCUCUCUGUUUUUCUUUGUUAUUGAUUCACCUUCACUGAGGACCUUACUCUCAAAGAAAAUAAAUUAUAUAAACUAUCAAUAGGUUUAUAACUACGGCAUUUUCAAUUUCUGCUUUGGCACUUCUUUUCUAGGCAUGUGAAACUUCUAAAUAAGUGACUGGUUCAAGGCAUUUUGCUUUUGCUUCACCCAGUUUGUGGUGUGUAAUGCAUACAAUAUGUUUUGUUAUGAGAGUUUGUAUCUCUUUGAUGGAUUGUAAGACUUUAUUUUCGAUUGAACUUGGAAAGGAAAUUUAA